rnacentral:rRNA from 1 species
CGGACGGGUGAGUAAUGUCUGGGAAACUGCCUGAUGGAGGGGGAUAACUACUGGAAACGGUAGCUAAUACCGCAUAACGUCGCAAGACCAAAGAGGGGGACCUUCGGGCCUCUUGCCAUCGGAUGUGCCCAGAUGGGAUUAGCUUGUUGGUGGGGUAAUGGCUCACCAAGGCGACGAUCCCUAGCUGGUCUGAGAGGAUGACCAGCCACACUGGAACUGAGACACGGUCCAGACUCCUACGGGAGGCAGCAUG